rnacentral:rRNA from 1 species
AUUGAACGCUGGCGGCAGGCCUAACACAUGCAAGUCGAGCGCGCGGCGGACGGGUGAGUAUUGUCUGUGAAACUGCCUGAUGGAGGGGGAUAACUACUGGAAACGGUAGCUAAUACCGCAUACCAUCAGAUGUGCCCAUAGUGGAGUAGCUCGUAGGUGGGGUAACGGCUCACCUAGGCGACGAUCCCUCGCUGGUCUGAGAGGAUGACCAGCCAAAAUGGAACUGAGCCACGGUCCAGACUCCUACGGGAGGCAGCAGUGGGGAAUAUUGCACAAUGGGCGCAAGCCUGAUGCAGCCAGGCCGCGUGUGUGAAGAAGGCCUUCGGGUUGUAAAGCAAUUUCAGCGGGGAGGCGUUACCCGCAGAAGAAGCACCGGCUAACUCCGUGCCAGCAGCCGCGGUAAUUC